UUUCCUUAUCUUUUAUCUCAGAGUCUCAAUCACUCUCAACCCAGAUCUGAUCUAACAGAAGUCAGAUCUCAAUUUCUCAUCUCCCGUAUUAGACCGACUAGAUCCAUUCUCCCUCCUCUUCAUUUAUUCCCGAUCUCAAAUUUUCCGACAAACCAAACGAAAAGCCAUAGCUCUCCACCUAAAACUUCGAUCUUCAAUCUCCUCAAC
rnacentral:lncRNA from 1 species